rnacentral:rRNA from 1 species
UUAAAUUGAAGAGUUUGAUCAUGGCUCAGAUUGAACGCUGGCGGCAGGCCUAACACAUGCAAGUCGAACGGUAACAGGAAACAGCUUGCUGCUUCGCUGACGAGUGGCGGACGGGUGAGUAAUGUCUGGGAAACUGCCUGAUGGAGGGGGAUAACUACUGGAAACGGUAGCUAAUACCGCAUAACGUCGCAAGACCAAAGAGGGGGACCUUCGGGCCUCUUGCCAUCGGAUGUGCCCAGAUGGGAUUAGCUUGUUGGUGGGGUAACGGCUCACCAAGGCGACGAUCCCUAGCUGGUCUGAGAGGAUGACCAGCCACACUGGAACUGAGACACGGUCCAGACUCCUACGGGAGGCAGCAGUGGGGAAUAUUGCACAAUGGGCGCAAGCCUGAUGCAGCCAUGCCGCGUGUAUGAAGAAGGCCUUCGGGUUGUAAAGUACUUUCAGCGGGGAGGAAGGGAGUAAAGUUAAUACCUUUGCUCAUUGACGUUACCCGCAGAAGAAGCACCGGCUAACUCCGUGCCAGCAGCCGCGGUAAUACGGAGGGUGCAAGCGUUAAUCGGAAUUACUGGGCGUAAAGCGCACGCAGGCGGUUUGUUAAGUCAGAUGUGAAAUCCCCGGGCUCAACCUGGGAACUGCAUCUGAUACUGGCAAGCUUGAGUCUCGUAGAGGGGGGUAGAAUUCCAGGUGUAGCGGUGAAAUGCGUAGAGAUCUGGAGGAAUACCGGUGGCGAAGGCGGCCCCCUGGACGAAGACUGACGCUCAGGUGCGAAAGCGUGGGGAGCAAACAGGAUUAGAUACCCUGGUAGUCCACGCCGUAAACGAUGUCGACUUGGAGGUUGUGCCCUUGAGGCGUGGCUUCCGGAGCUAACGCGUUAAGUCGACCGCCUGGGGAGUACGGCCGCAAGGUUAAAACUCAAAUGAAUUGACGGGGGCCCGCACAAGCGGUGGAGCAUGUGGUUUAAUUCGAUGCAACGCGAAGAACCUUACCUGGUCUUGACAUCCACGGAAGUUUUCAGAGAUGAGAAUGUGCCUUCGGGAACCGUGAGACAGGUGCUGCAUGGCUGUCGUCAGCUCGUGUUGUGAAAUGUUGGGUUAAGUCCCGCAACGAGCGCAACCCUUAUCCUUUGUUGCCAGCGGUCCGGCCGGGAACUCAAAGGAGACUGCCAGUGAUAAACUGGAGGAAGGUGGGGAUGACGUCAAGUCAUCAUGGCCCUUACGACCAGGGCUACACACGUGCUACAAUGGCGCAUACAAAGAGAAGCGACCUCGCGAGAGCAAGCGGACCUCAUAAAGUGCGUCGUAGUCCGGAUUGGAGUCUGCAACUCGACUCCAUGAAGUCGGAAUCGCUAGUAAUCGUGGAUCAGAAUGCCACGGUGAAUACGUUCCCGGGCCUUGUACACACCGCCCGUCACACCAUGGGAGUGGGUUGCAAAAGAAGUAGGUAGCUUAACCUUCGGGAGGGCGCUUACCACUUUGUGAUUCAUGACUGGGGUGAAGUCGUAACAAGGUAACCGUAGGGGAACCUGCGGUUGGAUCACCUCCUUACCUUAAAGAAGC